rnacentral:rRNA from 1 species
GAUGAACGCUGGCGGCGUGCCUAAUACAUGCCAGUCGAGCGAACGGACGAGAAGCUUGCCUCUCUGAUGUUAGCGGCGGACGGGUGAGUAACACGUGGAUAACCGACCUAUAAGACUGGGAUAACUUCGGGAAACCGGAGCUAAUACCGGAUAAUAUUUUGAACCUCAUGGUUCAAAAGUGAAAGACGGUCUUGCUGUCACUUAUAGAUGGAUCCGCGCUGCAUUAGCUAGUUGGUAAGGUAACGGCUUACCAAGGCAACGAUGCAUAGCCGACCUGAGAGGGUGAUCGGGCACACUGGAACUGAGACACGGUCCAGACUCCUACGGGAGGCAGCAGUAGGGAAUCUUCCGCAAUGGGCGAAAGCCUGACGGAGCAACGCCGCGUGAGUGAUGAAGGUCUUCGGAUCGUAAAACUCUGUUAUUAGGGAAGAACAUAAGUGUAAGUAACUGUGCACAUCUUGACGGUACCUAAUCAGAAAGCCACGGCUAACUACGUG